rnacentral:rRNA from 1 species
CAGCAGCCGCGGUAAUACGUAAGGGGCGAGCGUUGUUCGGGAUUAUUGGGCGUAAAGGGUGAGUAGGCGGAUAUAUAAGUCUAUGCAUAAAAUACCACAGCUCAACUGUGGAACUAUGUUGGAAACUAUAUGUCUAGAGUCUGAUAGAGGAAGUUAGAAUUCCUGGUGUAAGGGUGGAAUCUGUUGAUAUCAGGAAGAAUACCGGAGGCGAAGGCGAACUUCUAGGUCAAGACUGACGCUGAGUCACGAAAGCGUAGGGAGCAAACAGGAUUAGAUACCCUGGUAGU